rnacentral:rRNA from 1 species
UACGUAGGGUCCAGGCGUUAAUCGGAAUUACUGGGCGUAAAGCGUGCGCAGGCGGUUUUGUAAGACCGAUGUGAAAUCCCCGGGCUCAACCUGGGAACUGCAUUGGUGACUGCAAGGCUUGAGUGUGUCAGAGGGAGGUGGAAUUCCGCGUGUAGCAGUGAAAUGCGUAGAUAUGCGGAGGAACACCGAUGGCGAAGGCAGCCCCCUGGGCUAACACUGACGCUCAGGCACGAAAGCGUGGGGAGCAAACAGG